rnacentral:rRNA from 1 species
GAUGAACGCUGGCGGCGUGCCUAAUACAUGCAAGUCGAGCGAACAGACGAGGAGCUUGCUCCUCUGACGUUAGCGGCGGACGGGUGAGUAACACGUGGAUAACCUACCUAUAAGACUGGGAUAACUUCGGGAAACCGGAGCUAAUACCGGAUAAUAUAUUGAACCGCAUGGUUCAAUAGUGAAAGACGGUUUUGCUGUCACUUAUAGAUGGAUCCGCGCCGCAUUAGCUAGUUGGUAAGGUAACGGCUUACCAAGGCAACGAUGCGUAGCCGACCUGAGAGGGUUAUCGGCCACACUGGAACCGAGACACGGUCCAGACUCCUACGGGAGGCAGCAGUAGGGAAUCUUCCGCAAUGGGCGAAAGCCUGGCGGAGCAACGCCGCGUGAGUGAUGAAGGUCUUCGGAUCGUAAAACUCUGUUAUUAGGGAAGAACAAAUGUGUAAGUAACUAUGCACGUCUUGACGGUACCUAAUCAGAAAGCCACGGCUAACUACGUG